GUGGGGAAUCUUGCACAAUGGGGGAAACCCUGAUGCAGCGACGCCGCGUGAGCGAUGAAGCCCUUCGGGGUGUAAAGCUCUUUCGACGGGAACGAUAAUGACGGUACCCGGAGAAGAAGCUGCGGCUAACUACGUGCCAGCAGCCGCGGUAAUACGUAGGCAGCAAGCGUUGUUCGGAGUUACUGGGCGUAAAGAGUGCGUAGGCGGUUUCGCAAGUUUGGUGUGAAAUCUCCCGGCUUAACUGGGAGGGUGCGCUAAAGACUGCGGGGCUGGAGUGUGGGAGAGGCAAGCGGAAUUCCUGGUGUAGCGGUGAAAUGCGUAGAUAUCAGGAGGAACACCGGUGGUGUAGACGGCUUGCUGGACCAUGACUGACGCUGAGGCACGAAAGCGUGGGGAGCAAACAGGAUUAGAAACCCGUGUAGUCC
rnacentral:rRNA from 1 species